rnacentral:rRNA from 1 species
GGCUCAGGAUGAACGCUAGCGGCAGGCUUAAUACAUGCAAGUCGUGGGGCAGCAUGAGUAGCAAUACUUGAUGGCGACCGGCAAACGGGUGAGGAACACGUACACAACCUUCCUUCAAGCGGGGAAUAGCCCAGAGAAAUUUGGAUUAUUACCCCAUAAUAUAUUUGAUAAGGCAUCUUAUUAAUAUUAAAGCUUCGGCACUUGAUGAUGGGUGUGCGGCUGAUUAGAUAGUUGGCGGGUAACGGCCCACCAAGUCUACGAUCAGUAGCUGAUGUGAGAGCAUGAUCAGCCACACGGGCACUGAGACACGGGCCCGACUCCUACGGGAGGCAGCAGUAAGGAAUAUUGGACAAUGGACGAAAGUCUGAUCCAGCCAUGCCCGCGUGAAGGAUUAAGGUCCUCUGGAUUGUAAACUUCUUUUAUAUGGGACGAAAAAAGGGCAUUCUUGUUCACUUGACGGUACCAUAUGAAUAAGCACCGGCUAACUCCGUG